AAAGAUGGAAGGGGUAUUCAAAGAUUUCCACUCAGGACGAGGGAAGAAUUAACCCUCAAACGAUUAGGACUGUGAUUGCAUCUACACCUAGUCGUUACCGUAGUU
rnacentral:sRNA from 10 species